AGCGAACGCUGGCGGCAGGCCUAACACAUGCAAGUCGAACGAACCUUUCGGGGUUAGUGGCGGACGGGUGAGUAACACGUGGGAACGUGCCUUUAGAUUCGGAAUAACUCAGGGAAACUUGUGCUAAUACCGAAUGUGCCCUUCGGGGGAAAGAUUAAUCGCCUUUAGAGCGGCCCGCGUCUGAUUAGCUAGUUGGUUGAGGUAAUGGCUCACCAAGGCGACGAUCAGUAGCUGGUCUGAGAGGAUGAUCAGCCACAUUGGGACUGAGACACGGCCCAAACUCCUACGGGAGGCAGCAGUGGGGAAUCUUGCGCAAUGGGCGAAAGCCUGACGCAGCCAGGCCGCGUGAAUGAUGAAGGUCUUAGGAUUGUAAAAUUCUUUCACCGGGGACGAUAAUGACGGUACCCGGAGAAGAAGCCCCGGCUAACUUCGUG
rnacentral:rRNA from 1 species